CUGCUCUCCAGGAAUUACACACGGAGGCUGAGAGACCCUGGAUUUCAAGCCAGUCCCUUAAUGGGAUAAGUCUUUGGGCCUCUGAGGAGGAGGAGGAGUAUAUUUUUCACAGGGGAGGAAUGUGAUUCUAACUAACUUUGGAAGCGAGAACCUCGUGACUUCCACCUGGGCCUCUGGGAACACUGUGCUUGGGAUGCUCCCUCUUGGAACCCAGCGUCCAGGCUGUGAAAACCCAAGCCACCUAAAAGGCCACAGUGGACAGCCCUCACUGAGCUCCCUGCCCACAGGCAGAAUCAGCUACCAGCCAUGUAUAUUUAAGUCAUCUUGGUCAUCAGCCUAGGGAAGUCUUCAGAUGACUGCAGCCCCAGGCCAAGAUCUGUCUACAGCUGCAUGAGAGGCCCCAAGUGAGAACCGCCCAGCUGUGCCCAGUCAACCUACAGAACCAAGAGAGAGAAUAGUAACUCACUAAAACUGAGAGCUGGAUAAAAAGAACCCCCACAACAAGAGAAAGUCCUGACUAAGGCGGAAGAGGCAGAAGUUCCUGCUGGAGAGAAAAAAGUCACCUUCGGGAGCAGCAGAGUUUCUCAGCCAGCCAGGCAGGAACCACCCUAAGUUUCAGUUUGUUGGAUUUUCUCUGGAGGUUUCUUCCCUCUUGAUCACUGGAAGGCUGCGACAGUUCCAGGUAGCACGUCCUCUUUUUAUGAAGAGCAAAAAUGUUUCCCAGGAUCCUAUCAGCAAACUUAACCUUGUGUCCUACUGAUGGAGAUUGAAUCACAGGCCCAUGACUUUGUGGCAUUUCUGGCCUAUAUAGUGUGGAAAGUAGGAUCUACUAGCAAAGAAGAACAGAGCAGAGGAGGG
rnacentral:lncRNA from 1 species